CCCGUAAGGGGCGAUCGUUAUUCGGAAUUAUUGGGCGUAAAGGGCGCGUAGGCGGUCCUGUAAGCCCGGCGUGAAAACCUGGAGCUCAACUCCGGGCCUGCGCUGGGAACUGCGGGACUAGAGUCAUGGAAGGGAAGUUGGAAUUCCAGGUGUAGGGGUGAAAUCUGUAGAUAUCUGGAAGAACACCGGUGGCGAAGGCGAACGUCUGGCCAAUGACUGACGCUGAGGCGCGAAAGUGCGGGGAGCGAACAGG
rnacentral:rRNA from 1 species